AGAGUUUGAUCCUGGCUCAGGAUGAACGCUAGCUACAGGCUUAACACAUGCAAGUCGAGGGGCAGCAUAAUGUCUAGCAAUAGAUGUUGAUGGCGACCGGCGCACGGGUGAGUAACACGUAUCCAACCUGGCCCAUACUAGGGAAUAGCCUGCCGAAAGGCAGAUUAAUGCCCUAUGUUGUGUAUUGAUGGCAUCAGAUUUGCACCAAAGAUUUAUCGGUAUGGGAUGGGGAUGCGUCCGAUUAGCUUGACGGCGGGGUAACGGCCCACCGUGGCUACGAUCGGUAGGGGUUCUGAGAGGAAGGUCCCCCACACUGGAACUGAGACACGGUCCAGACUCCUACGGGAGGCAGCAGUGAGGAAUAUUGGUCAAUGGGCGUAAGCCUGAACCAGCCAAGUAGCGUGAGGGAUGACUGCCCUAUGGGUUGUAAACCUCUUUUAUAAGGGAAUAACUGACGAUACGUGUAUUGUUUUGCAUGUACCUUAUGAAUAAUGACCGGCUAAUUCCGUGCCAGCAGCCGCGGUAAUACGGAAGGUCAGGGCGUUAUCCGGAUUUAUUGGGUUUAAAGGGAGCGUAGGCGGUUGGUUAAGCGUGUUGUGAAAUGUCCCGGCCCAACCGGGGAUGUGCAACGCGAACUGGCUGACUUGAGUGCGUACGAGGUAUGCGGAAUUCGUCGUGUAGCGGUGAAAUGCUUAGAUAUGACGAAGAACUCCGAUUGCGAAGGCAGCAUGCCAGGCCGCUACUGACGCUGAAGCUCGAAGGUGCGGGUAUCGAACAGGAUUAGAUACCCUGGUAGUCCGCACGGUAAACGAUGGAUGCCCGCUGUUUGCGAUAUACUGUGAGCGGCCAAGCGAAAGCGUUAAGCAUCCCACCCUGGGGAGUACGCCGGCAACGGUGAAAACUCAAAGGAAUCGACGGGGGCCCGCACAAGCGGAGGAACAUGUGGUUUAAUUCGAUGAUACGCGAGGAACCUUACCCGGGCUUGAAUUGCAGAGGAACAAUCCAGAGAUGGUGCGGCCCUUCGGGGCCUCUGUGAAGGUGCUGCAUGGUUGUCGUCAGCUCGUGCCGUGAGGUGUCGGCUUAAGUGCCAUAACGAGCGCAACCCCUGUUGCCAGUUGCCAUCCUUUAGUUGGGCACUCUGGCGAGACUGCCACCGUAAGGUGUGAGGAAGGUGGGGAUGACGUCAAAUCAGCACGGCCCUUACGUCCGGGGCUACACACGUGUUACAAUGGGUGAUACAGAGAGUCGUGCAUGCGCAAGUAUGUUCCAAUCUUUAAAGUCAUCCUCAGUUCGGACUGGGGUCUGCAACCCGACCCCACGAAGCUGGAUUCGCUAGUAAUCGCGCAUCAGCCAUGGCGCGGUGAAUACGUUAACCGGGCCUUGUACUCACCGCCCGUCA
rnacentral:rRNA from 1 species